rnacentral:misc_RNA from 1 species
UGGUUCUGGCAUCGAUGAAGAACGCAGCGAAAUGCGAUAAGUAAUGCGAAUUGCAGAAUUCAGUGAAUCAUCGAAUCUUUGAACGCACAUUGCGCCCCUCAGCACUCUGGGGGGCAUGCCUGUCCGAGCGUCAUUGCCACCCUCAAGCGCCGCCGCUUGGUGUUGGGCGCCACCUUGGUGCGCCCUAAAAGCAGUGGCGGGACCGCCCGGCCACAAGCGUAGUAGCAUCUCAGCUUGUAGGGCCUGGGCGUGGGCCCGCUGUCACCCUCUGUCAGAGAGUUGACCUCGGAUCAGGUAGGGUUACCCGCUGA